CAGAUGUUGCCAUUUAUGAACGGGAGCGUUUUGGAAGUGCCGUCUUUCUGUUCUGCUGCUGUGCGGAGGCUGCCCUUGGCUUUGAGCUCGUCAACAAACAAUCCACUGCAUGUUAUGGUCCGAGACCGUGCAUAGCACCACAUUAUGAACAUCAUCUGAUGGAGUGAAAGGCACAAGGGUUUCAUCUUUAUAUUUCGGGACGAGAUGCGCGUUUGUUAAUGGACGCACUGCUGCCUUGCCUGUACUGUGUUUGUCGUUUCCUUAUUUAAGCAAAUUUAAACUUUCAUUCUAGUAAACCUGAACGUGGCUGUCUCUCGCUGGUUUGCCCUGUUUUUUGAAUGUGUCGUCGAUUGGAGUUUGUUUUGAUUUGUCAUUUUGUUUCAAAUCAUCAAUGAGAUUUGUUUUCUUUUGUUUUGUGUUCACUUGUGUAUUUUGCAAUUUAAUUUAUUUUCUUUGUUAGAUUUAAGUUUAGUUGAGUUCCCAAAACGAAAGUGACAUUAAUAUUGUUUUUUUUUGUUUUUCUUUUGUUGUGAACUGAUUUUCUCCCCUUUUGGGGGGGCUUGCUUUUGCCAGUUAAUGUUUAUUGUGUGUCUUUUGCUUUUUAUUUAUCGCGUGACGAAGGGGGUUUAUAGAGGAGGGG